UAAAAGCGGCUGCUUGGACCGGCGACCGGAACGUAGGGCUUCCGCGCCCCUCUGCUGGGGAACCCGUCGGAGACGGCCAGGCGGGACUGUGGCUGCCGCUCAGGAUCUGCGGUGACGGAGGCGCCUCGAGGCCAUGUGGGGGCACUAAACGUUUGGGAGAAACGGGAAAAGCCCUAGGAGAGGCGUCGCAGAGGUUGGGAAGUACGGCCCGCCUAUGGGACCGGAGAAUCUGACCGACUGUAGCCGGAGGGCAGGGAGGCGGUGCCAAAGGGAACGGCCGCCUUUGCUUGAAGAAAAAGCUGGGAAAAGAGCCUGACUGUAAUCCAAAGCUUUAGGUCAAUGAGCGCGGGCGCACCCCCCAAAGUUGAAGGAAGGAAAGGCCCUCGGGUGACCUCCGGGGAUCAGGGGGUGUCCCUUGGCUGCAGAGCCCUCCCCGCGCACGCUGUCCUAGGUCCCUAGCCCACCGGAAACGGGAGCAGCAGGUUUUUCAGCCAAAUGAUGUGAAGGGCAGCCAAGGGAAAGGAGAAGAAACCCAAGCAGAAGAAUUUCAAGAAGCCCUCCCACAGAGAGGACUGCAUGCAUAUGCUACAGUGUCACUGAGCAGCAGCGACAUUUGGUGACAUCACCUUUGUAUGAUGUACAGUCAUGAACAGACCUUCUGAUGCAGUGCACAUAUCAGAUAAAUAAAAAAAAACCUUUAUCUUACUAAUCUGUAAGGCAAAUCAA